rnacentral:rRNA from 1 species
GAUGAACGCUGGCGGCGUGCCUAAUACAUGCAAGUCGAGCGAACAGACGAGGAGCUUGCUCCUCUGACGUUAGCGGCGGACGGGUGAGUAACACGUGGAUAACCUACCUAUAAGACUGGGAUAACUUCGGGAAACCGGAGCUAAUACCGGAUAAUAUAUUGAACCGCAUGGUUCAAUAGUAAAAGACGGUUUUGCUGUCACUUAUAGAUGGAUCCGCGCCGCAUUAGCUAGUUGGUAAGGUAACGGCUUACCAAGGCAACGAUGCGUAGCCGACCUGAGAGGGUGAUCGGCCACACUGGAACUGAGACACGGUCCAGACUCCUACGGGAGGCAGCAGUAGGGAAUCUUCCGCAAUGGGCGAAAGCCUGACGGAGCAACGCCGCGUGAGUGAUGAAGGUCUUCGGAUCGUAAAACUCUGUUAUUAGGGAAGAACAAAUGUGUAAGUAACUAUGCACGUCUUGACGGUACCUAAUCAGAAAGCCACGGCUAACUACGUG